rnacentral:rRNA from 1 species
ACUCAAAUGAAUUGACGGGGGCCCGCACAAGCGGUGGAGCAUGUGGUUUAAUUCGACGCAACGCGAAGAACCUUACCUGGGCUUGAACUGUAAUGGACCGGUGCAGAGAUGUGCCUUUUCGCAAGAACUGUUACAGAGGUGCUGCAUGGCUGUCGUCAGCUCGUGUCGUGAGAUGUUGGGUUAAGUCCCGCAACGAGCGCAACCCUUACCUUUAGUUGCCAGCGGGUCAUGCCGGGAACUCUAAAGGGACUGCCCGGGUUAACCGGGAGGAAGGCGGGGAUGAUGUCAAGUCCUCAUGGCCCUUAUGUCCAGGGCUACACACGUGCUACAAUGGGCGAUACAAACCGUUGCGAGAUCGCGAGAUGGAGCUAAUCGGAGAAAGUCGUCCUCAGUUCGGAUUGUAGUCUGCAACUCGACUGCAUGAAGGUGGAAUCGCUAGUAAUCGUGUAUCAGAAUGAUACGGUGAAUACGUUCCCGGGCCUUGUACACACCGCCCGU